CGGCCGGCCGGACCGGCGCGACGGGUGAGUAACACGUAUGCAACCUGCCCUCUUCAGGGGGACAACCUUCCGAAAGGGUGGCUAAUCCCGCGUAUAUCGGUUUCGGGCAUCCGAGAUCGAGGAAAGAUUCAUCGGAAGAGGAUGGGCAUGCGGCGCAUUAGCUAGACGGCGGGGUAACGGCCCACCGUGGCGACGAUGCGUAGGGGUUCUGAGAGGAAGGUCCCCCACACUGGUACUGAGACACGGACCAGACUCCUACGGAAGGCAGCAG
rnacentral:rRNA from 1 species